rnacentral:rRNA from 1 species
GACGAACGCUGGCGGCGUGCUUAACACAUGCAAGUCGAACGGAAAGGCCCUGCUUUUGUGGGGUGCUCGAGUGGCGAACGGGUGAGUAACACGUGAGUAACCUGCCCUUGACUUUGGGAUAACUUCAGGAAACUGGGGCUAAUACCGGAUAGGAGCUCCUGCUGCAUGGUGUGGGUUGGAAAGUUUCGGCGGUUGGGGAUGGACUCGCGGCUUAUCAGCUUGUUGGUGGGGUAGUGGCUUACCAAGGCGUUGACGGGUAGCCGGCCUGAGAGGGUGACCGGCGACAUUGGGACUGAGAUACGGCCCAGACUCCUACGGGAGGCAGCAGUGGGGAAUAUUGCACAAUGGGCGGAAGCCUGAUGCAGCAACGCCGCGUGCGGGAUGACGGCCUUCGGGUUGUAAACCGCUUUCGCCUGUGACGAAGCGUGAGUGACGGUAAUGGGUAAAGAAGCACCGGCUAACUACGUG